rnacentral:rRNA from 1 species
UUAGACNUGAGUGCAGAAGGGGAGAGUGGAAUUCCAUGUGUAGCGGUGAAAUGNGUAGAUAUAUGGAGGAACACCGGUGGCGAAAGCGGCUCUCUGGUNUGUCACUGACGCUGAGGCUCGAAAGCGUGGGUAGCGAACAGGAUUAGAUACCCUGGUAGUCCACGCCGUAAACGCUGAGUGCUAGGUGUUAGGUCCUUUCCGGGACUUAGUGCCGACGCUAACGCAUUAAGCACUCCGCNUGGGGAGUACGACCGCAAGGUUGAAACUCAAAGGAAUUGACGGGGGCCCGCACAAGCGGUGGAGCAUGUGGUUUAAUUCGAAGCAACGCGAAGAACCUUACCAGGUCUUGACAUCCCGAUGCCCGCUCUAGAGAUAGAGUUUUACUUUUUGUACAUCGGAGACAGGUGGUGCAUGGUUGUCGUCAGCUCGUGUCGUGAGAUGUUGGGUNAANNNNNNNNNNCGAGCGCAACCCUUAUUGUUAGUUGCCAUCAUUAAGUUGGGCACUCUAGCGAGACUGCCGGUAAUAAACNGGAGGAAGGUGGGGAUGACGUCAAAUCAUCAUGCCCCUUAUGACCUGGGCUACACACGUGCUACAAUGGUUGGUACAACGAGUCGCAAGCCGGUGACGGCAAGCUAAUUUCUGAAAGCCAAUCUCAGUUCGGAUUGUAGGCUGCAACUCGCCUACAUGAAGUCGGAAUCGCUAGUAAUCGCGGAUCAGCACGCCGCGGUGAAUACGUUCCCGGGCCU